rnacentral:rRNA from 1 species
GAUGAACGCUGGCGGCGUGCCUAAUACAUGCAAGUCGAGCGAAUGGAUUAAGAGCUUGCUCUUAUGAAGUUAGCGGCGGACGGGUGAGUAACACGUGGGUAACCUGCCCAUAAGACUGGGAUAACUCCGGGAAACCGGGGCUAAUACCGGAUAACAUUUUGAACCGCAUGGUUCGAAAUUGAAAGGCGGCUUCGGCUGUCACUUAUGGAUGGACCCGCGUUGCAUUAGCCAGUUGGUGAGGUAACGGCUCACCAAGGCAACGAUGCGUAGCCGACCUGAGAGGGUGAUCGGCAACACUGGGACUGAGACACGGCCCAGACUCCUACGGGAGGCAGCAGUAGGGAAUCUUCCGCAAUGGACGAAAGUCUGACGGAGCAACGCCGCGUGAGUGAUGAAGGCUUUCGGGUCGUAAAACUCUGUUGUUAGGGAAGAACAAGUGCUAGUUGAAUAAGCUGACACCUUGACGGUACCUAACCAGAAAGCCACGGCUAACUACGUGCCAGCCGCCGCCGUAA